AUGUUACAGGCCCAAAGAUUAAUGCUUGGCCCAAUAAUGAGGCAGCCCAACCCAAACCGGAAAACCUUUUUUGUUGCAAAGCAUAAACAUUCACUGUAUCAAUCAAUUGGAAAAACGCAUUGCUACAAACAGAAUCAAGAACAUAGACGAUAUCUUAGACUAAUACAGAAGCGAAAUCAAAUGCAGAAACUACAUUAA